rnacentral:rRNA from 1 species
CCUACGGGUGGCAGCAGUGGGGGAUAUUGCACAAUGGGGGGAACCCUGAUGCAGCGACGCCGCGUGGGUGAAGGAGCGUUUCGGCGCGUAAAGCCCUAUCGGCAGGGAAGAAGAUGACGGUACCUGACCCAGAAGCCCCGGCUAACUACGUGCCAGCAGCCGCGGUAAUACGUAGGGGGCAAGCGUUAUCCGGAUUUACUGGGUGUAAAGGGAGCGCAGACGGCAAUGCAAGCCAGGAGUGAAAGCCCGGGGCCCAACCCCGGGACUGCACUUGGAACUGCAUGGCUGGAGUACAGGAGGGGCGGGCGGAAUUCCUAGUGUAGCGGUGAAAUGCGUAGAUAUUAGGAGGAACACCGGUGGCGAAGGCGGCCUUCUGGACUGUGACUGACGUUGAGGCCCGAAGGCGUGGGUAGCAAACAGGAUUAGAUACCCCUGUAGUC